AGAUGUGUGCUCUUCCGAUAGCAGAGUGGUUGCUUCACUGCGUCCUGGAUCCAUGACCUGAAAAGCAGUGAGAGGCCAGCUGGCCAGAGGCUGGGAGAGGGGCCAGUGAGCUCUGCCCAGUUCUUGACAAAGCUGGAAUCCCUGGGUAUAUCUAGCAGUCUGUGCACACAUAUGAUGGGCUGAGGGUCACAGGACCAAA